UACAGAGGGUGCAAGCGUCGUUCGGAAUCAUUGGGCGUAAAGCGCGCGUGGGCGGCCCUUCAAGUCGAAUGUGAAAGCCCUGAGCUCAACUUAGGAAGUGCAUUCGAGACUGAUUGGCUUGAGUCCUGGAGAGGGUGGUAGAAUUCCCCGUGUAGAGGUGAAAUUCGUAGAUAUUGGGAGGAAUACCAGUGGCGAAGGCGACCACCUGGACGGAGACUGACGCUGAGGCGCGAAAGCGUGGGGAGCAAACAGG
rnacentral:rRNA from 1 species